rnacentral:rRNA from 1 species
ACUCAAAUGAAUAGACGGGGACCCGCACAAGCAGCGGAGCAUGUGGUUUAAUUCGAAGCAACGCGAAGAACCUUACCAAGGUUUGACAUCCCCUUGACAGAUGCAGAGAUGUGUCCUCCCCUUCGGGGGCAAGGGAGACAGGUGGUGCAUGGUUGUCGUCAGCUCGUGUCGUGAGAUGUUGGGUUAAGUCCCGCAACGAGCGCAACCCUUAUCAUUAGUUGCCAGCAUUUAAGGUGGGCACUCUAAUGAGACUGCCGGUGAUAAACCGGAGGAAGGUGGGGAUGACGUCAAAUCAUCAUGCCCCUUAUAUCUUGGGCUACACACGUGCUACAAUGGUCGGUACAAAGGGCAGCGAAAGAGCGAUCUGAAGCAAAUCCCAAUAAACCGAUCCCAGUUCGGAUUGUAGGCUGCAACUCGCCUACAUGAAGUUGGAGUUGCUAGUAAUCGCGAAUCAGAACGUCGCGGUGAAUGCGUUCCCGGGUCUUGUACACACCGCCCGU